AGGGGCGUGGCGGAAUUGGCAUACGCGCCAGUCUUAGAAACUGGUAUUUGUGGGUUCGAGUCCCACCGCCCCUACCA
rnacentral:tRNA from 1 species